rnacentral:rRNA from 1 species
UACGGGAGGGUGCGAGCGUUGUCCGGAAUCAUUGGGCGUAAAGGGCGCGUAGGUGGCCCGGUCAGUCUUUGGUGAAAGCGCGGGGCUCAACCCUGCGUCGGCCAGGGAUACUGCCGCGGCUCGAGCACUGUAGAGGCAGGCGGAAUUCCGGGGUGUAGCGGUGGAAUGCGUAGAGAUCCGGAAGAACACCGGUGGCGAAGGCGGCCUGCUGGGCAGUUUAGCUGACACUGAGGCGCGACAGCGUGGGGGAGCAAACAGG